rnacentral:snRNA from 1 species
GAAACCCUAAAGCUUUCCCAUAAAAUUGGAACGGUACAGAGAAGAUUAGCAUGGCCCCUGCGCAAAUCGAGAAGGGUCAAAAGAGUCAAAAGCCCUUUCU